rnacentral:rRNA from 1 species
ACCGUGCUAAGGUAGCGCGAUAAUUUGCCCUCUAAUUAAGGGCCUGUACGAACGGACGAACGAGAGCCUAACUGUCUCUUUAAUGAAAAUGAAAAUUAUUCUUCAGGUGAAGAAACCUGAAUCACACCAGAGGACAAAAAGACCCUAGAGAGCUUCGUUGAAACUAAACAAGAGGUGAAUAUUUCUUAUUCAAACCUCUAUGACAAUACUUCAACUUAACUGGGGCGGUUGAGGAAAAAUCUUAAACUUCCAUCUCAUUCCCACCACCGGCCCCCGGGCCCAAAUUUAACUGACCCUUAACCUCUAAGAUCAAAGGAAAAGCUACCUUAGGGAUAACAGACUAAUCCUCCUUAAGAGCACACAUUGACAGGAGGGAUUGGCACCUCGAUGUUGGCUUAGGGUAACAGGCAGGUAGUAGCAGCCUCCCCUGUGGGCUUGUUCAGCCCUUAAACCCCUACAUGAUCUGAGUUA